rnacentral:rRNA from 1 species
GACGGGGCCCGCACAAGCGGUGGAGCAUGUCGGUUUAAUUCGACGCAACGCGCAGACUUACCUGGGCUGACAUCCCGAUCGCACUUUCUGGAAACAGAGAGGUCAGUUCGGCUGGAUCGGUGACAGGUGCUGCAUGGCUGUCGUCAGCUCGUGUCGUGAGAUGUUGGGUUAAGUCCCGCAACGAGCGCAACCCUCGUCCUUAGUUGCCAGCAUUAAGUUGGGCACUCUAAGGAGACUGCCGGUGUUAAACCGGAGGAAGGCGGGGAUGACGUCAAGUCCUCAUGGCCCUUAUGUCCAGGGCUACACACGUGCUACAAUGGCCGGUACAAAGGGUAGCAAGACCGCGAGGUGGAGCCAAUCCCAAAAAGCCGGUCUCAGUUCGGAUUGGAGUCUGCAACUCGACUCCAUGAAGUUGGAAUCGCUAGUAAUCGUGGAUCAGCAUGCCACGGUGAAUACGUUCCCGGGCCUU